rnacentral:rRNA from 1 species
AGAGUUUGAUCAUGGCUCAGAUUGAACGCUGGCGGCAAGCCUAACACAUGCAAGUCGAACGGUAACAGGAAGCAGCUUGCUGCUUCGCUGACGAGUGGCGGACGGGUGAGUAAUGUCUGGGAAGCUGCCUGAUGGAGGGGGAUAACUACUGGAAACGGUAGCUAAUACCGCAUAAUGUCGCAAGACCAAAGAGGGGGACCUUCGGGCCUCUUGCCAUCGGAUGUGCCCAGAUGGGAUUAGCUUGUUGGUGGGGUAACGGCUCACCAAGGCGACGAUCCCUAGCUGGUCUGAGAGGAUGACCAGCCACACUGGAACUGAGACACGGUCCAGACUCCUACGGGAGGCAGCAGUGGGGAAUAUUGCACAAUGGGCGCAAGCCUGAUGCAGCCAUGCCGCGUGUAUGAAGAAGGCCUUCGGGUUGUAAAGUACUUUCAGCGGGGAGGAAGGGAGUAAAGUUAAUACCUUUGCUCAUUGACGUUACCCGCAGAAGAAGCACCGGCUAACUCCGUGCCAGCAGCCGCGGUAAUACGGAGGGUGCAAGCGUUAAUCGGAAUUACUGGGCGUAAAGCGCACGCAGGCGGUUUGUUAAGUCAGAUGUGAAAUCCCCGGGCUCAACCUGGGAACUGCAUCUGAUACUGGCAAGCUUGAGUCUCGUAGAGGGGGGUAGAAUUCCAGGUGUAGCGGUGAAAUGCGUAGAGAUCUGGAGGAAUACCGGUGGCGAAGGCGGCCCCCUGGACGAAGACUGACGCUCAGGUGCGAAAGCGUGGGGAGCAAACAGGAUUAGAUACCCUGGUAGUCCACGCCGUAAACGAUGUCGACUUGGAGGUUGUGCCCUUGAGGCGUGGCUUCCGGAGCUAACGCGUUAAGUCGACCGCCUGGGGAGUACGGCCGCAAGGUUAAAACUCAAAUGAAUUGACGGGGGCCCGCACAAGCGGUGGAGCAUGUGGUUUAAUUCGAUGCAACGCGAAGAACCUUACCUGGUCUUGACAUCCACGGAAGUUUUCAGAGAUGAGAAUGUGCCUUCGGGAACCGUGAGACAGGUGCUGCAUGGCUGUCGUCAGCUCGUGUUGUGAAAUGUUGGGUUAAGUCCCGCAACGAGCGCAACCCUUAUCCUUUGUUGCCAGCGGUCCGGCCGGGAACUCAAAGGAGACUGCCAGUGAUAAAUUGGAGGAAGGUGGGGAUGACGUCAAGUCAUCAUGGCCCUUACGACCAGGGCUACACACGUGCUACAAUGGUGCAUACAAAGAGAAGCGACCUCGCGAGAGCAAGCGGACCUCAUAAAGUGCGUCGUAGUCCGGAUUGGAGUCUGCAACUCGACUCCAUGAAGUCGGAAUCGCUAGUAAUCGUGGAUCAGAAUGCCACGGUGAAUACGUUCCCGGGCCUUGUACACACCGCCCGUCACACCAUGGGAGUGGGUUGCAAAAGAAGUAGGUAGCUUAACCUUCGGGAGGGCGCUUACCACUUUGUGAUUCAUGACUGGGGUGAAGUCGAAACAAGGUAACCGUGGGGGAACCUGCGGUUG